rnacentral:rRNA from 1 species
UCAGACGAUGCGUCAUGCAUAUCAAUAAGCGGAGGAAAAGAAACUAACAAGGAUUCCCCUAGUAACGGCGAGUGAAGCGGGAAGAGCUCAAAUUUGAAAUCUUCAAGGUUUUACCUUGACGAAUUGUAGUUUAAAGAAGUGUUUUCUGUUGGAGUUUUGGUAAAAGUUCUUUGGAAAUAGGGACAUCAUAGAGGGUGAGAAUCCCGUAUUUGACCAUUAUCUCCAGCUUUGUGAUACACUUUCAAAGAGUCGGAUUGUUUGGGAAUGCAGUCCAAAAUGGGUGGUAAAUUUCAUCUAAAGCUAAAUAUUGGCGAGAGACCGAUAGCGAACAAGUACCGUGAGGGAAAGAUGAAAAGAACUUUGAAAAGAGAGUUAAACAGUACGUGAAAUUGUCAAAAGGGAAGCGUUUGACACCAGUGUUGUUUUCUCGAAAAUCAAUUAAAAAGAGUUGGAUUUUGUGUUGUAUUGACCUUAACAGCUUGCUUCACUCUUUUCCUGCUUUUCUUAAUGCACUUUUCGUUUAACAAGUCAACAUCAGUUUCCUUUGUUGUAAAAGGGUCAUUGGAAGGUGGCUUUCUCUUCGGAGAAAGUGUUUAUAGCCUUUGAUCUCUGCAAUCGGAGAGACUGAGGUCUGCAGCGUAGAUCCUUCGGGGUUAGAUACAUUUGUGCUAAGCUACAGCUUUUCAUAGACAACUUGUUGACUAUGUUUAGUCUUGUAACUUACCCGCUUAUGCUAUUUUACCUACGCUUAGGAUGUUGAUAUGCAUGACUGAUAU